rnacentral:rRNA from 1 species
CCUGGCGGCCGUAGCGCGGUGGUCCCACCUGACCCCAUGCCGAACUCAGAAGUGAAACGCCGUAGCGCCGAUGGUAGUGUGGGGUCUCCCCAUGCGCGAGUAGGGAACUGCCAGGC